ACAAAUAUGACAUAUUACACAUCAUGUUUACAUCUGACGAGCAUAUGUCAGAUGUAAAAGGCUAUAUGGAGUAGCCUUUUCAUCUGGCUUCAAUAUCCACAGAUGUGAAAAAUAAAUAGAAAAGACUUUUUACAUCUGACUUCAAUGUACCAGAAGCAUAACUAAACGCGGUGGCAAUACUGUAAUUAUCUCGAAAAUUGUCUAAAAUAAAUAUAUAUCUGGGCAAAUAUAUCCUCAGAUGUAACAAGUCAGGUUGAGUAAAUAAAAAAAAAAAAAAAUUGGAACCAAAUAAUUGAUUCAAGUGCAAAACACUCUCAGACGCGUACCUACACUCAAAUAUAACACUCUCUCUCUCGAUGUCAAGAACAAAACCGAAGAACAAACCCAAACCCUCGAUUCGUCUCGAUUCCUCUCUCGAUUCGACAAUCUCUCACUCUCACUGUCACUCGUCCUCUCUCACUCAUUCUCUCGAUCUCGAUUUCGUCCUCUCUCUCACAGUGGUUCUCUCGAUCUGGAUCUCGAACCCUAAGCCCCAAAUCGAAGCUCAGUGAAACAAAUUGAAGCUUCUCUCAGAUUGUUAUCGUUCCUCUCCCUACAACUGAAAACACAAACAGAUGGUUCCAAGGAAUUUUGUUGAGAGAUAUUGGAAAGAUGUAUCAAAUCCAAUUUCCCUUAGACUUCCAAAUGAGUCUGUUUGUAAAAUGUUUUGGGUGCAAUUUGGUGACGAGAUUUGGCUUCAGGAUUGGAAAAGGUUUGCACGGUCGCUUAGAUGCGGAGAUCUUAAAGUUUUUCAAUACAAAGGAGGAUCAGAUUUUCAUGUCAUUAUACUUGAUGAUAGUAAACUAGAAAUUGACUAUUCAAGUAUGAUUUGCAACGAUAAACAAGAAGCUAAAGAGAGUGAUGAUGAUGGCUAUGUUGAGAUUACAAAUGAGGCUGAUAAUACCAAACAAUCCCUCAAGAAAAAGAAAAUCAACUCAAAUGAUAGUGAUACCACUACUGCUACAACUCAAGUGACAAACAUUGUCAAUAGAAAAAUUAAUACAAAGGCAACCCAGCAAAAAGUCUCAGGCAAGUUAAUAUACAUCCUUUUACUUAUAUAGCUAUUCAUCGGUAAAAUAUGUUUUUAUUUGGUCCCUAUAUCUCAAAUUUUGUUUUUAGCCUUUCUAUCCACUUUUCAAUCUAUAUAGCUUACAAGUUUUUAGGCUGGAACUAAUUUACUUAUUUUCAAGAUGUGAUCUUUAUUUUGUACCUUUAAAGUUUUAUAGAGGCUAAUGGAACCAGAGGAGGCAGCGGUAAGAAAGCUAAGAAAUGCUCAAAAAUUGUAGAUGCAAAUAAGAGAAGCUGCACUGAUGCUCAUCCUAAUGAGAAUCCCUAUUUCACUCUUAAAUUAUCGCCAUCUUAUGCGGAAGCUGAUAAAUUAAUCUUGGAUUUUUAAACCUUGUUGAAGGAGAAAAACAAAUUCAAACCUGGAUGUUUUCAAGAAGGAGAAAGACAAAUUCAAACCUGGAUCUAAGGUAGAAGAAAAUUAAGGGUUGUUUAAGAACAAGUGGAGUGGCAGCAAAAGCUGCGUUUCUGUUACUAAACAGCUCGUCUAGUGAGAAGCAUCAUCGCCUAGCGACGACAGCAGCGUGCUCUGCCUCUGUAUGUUGUUCUUUCCCCUAUCCAACCAUUCUUGAUCGUAGGUAAGCAAACUCAAGCUCUUUUCCUUCUCUCUAGGAUUAUUCUAUUCUUUUGGUGUUAGAAAUAUCACUAAUCUCAUUCUUGGUAAUUAUAUGUGGCUUGUUUGGAGAAAGAGGCUGUGAUUGAAGUAUUUGGAGCUGAGAAUUGAAUGAAAAUGGAAGGACAUGGCCAUUUGGAGAAAGAAAAACGCAGAUUAUGAUGUUGCCGAUGAUGAGGCUUAGGAGCUAGCUAGGUUAUGAAUUGCGAAACAGCUGGGUAACUUGUUUUCUUGACCUAUACAAUCCCGAGGUAGAUUAUGAUGUUGCCGAUGAUGAGGCUUAGGAGCUAGCUAGGUUAAUUUGUGUGAUGUUACAAUGGAUUCACAUUAAUUAUGAUGUUUUGAAUUGUAAUGACUUGUAUUUUGCUUGAAAGUUAUAACAUUUUGGAUGAA